UACGUAGGGUGCAAGCGUUGUCCGGAAUUAUUGGGCGUAAAGAGCUCGUAGGCGGUCUGUCACGUCGGACGUGAAAAUCCAGGGCUCAACCCUGGACCUGCCGUUCGAUACGGGCAGACUAGAGUUCGGUAGGGGAGACUGGAAUUCCUGGUGUAGCGGUGAAAUGCGCAGAUAUCAGGAGGAACACCGGUGGCGAAGGCGGUUCUCUGGGCAUUACCUGACGCUGAGGAGCGAAAGUGUGGGGAGCGAACAGG
rnacentral:rRNA from 1 species